CGGGGCGGGGCGGGGCGGGGCAGCGGCCGGCGCCUUAGGAUCCUGCGGGGGAAAUGGGCGGGACGGAGCUAGAGGGCGUGGCCUCAGGCGAGGAAGGCGGGGUAGCGCUUUACCUCGGGCGGACCGACCACUGCGGAGCCUGGAGGACGCUGGGGGCGCGGCCUAGGCUAGGCAGCGCGGGUUGGUGGGCGGUUCCCCGGAGCCACGCCCCUCAGGGGCGGGGGAAUGGUCCCGGGAGCCGGAGCCUGACACCGCCUCCCUCCGCGGCGCAGCUGCUGCUGGUUGAGUGCCAGGUGACCUCAUGCGGCGGCACGCCUCGCGCCCUCUCCCCCGCCGCAGCCGCAGGGACUCCACGUCCCCUCCCGUUCCCGGGGCGGCGGCCUCUUCGGCUCCUUCAGUUAGGCGCGGCUGCCUUUUCCUGGAAAACUUUUGCGAAAGUUUUCAUGUCCUUUAAGAAGAACUUUUUUCUUCUUCUGACCGCGGAUCUCCUUUCAUGAUCCUUCUCCAUUUGAAGUCAAGAUCACUCAAACGUUCUUAUAAAGUCGUCCUGUGUCCCAGGCUCUGAAUUAGGCCAAAACGUUGGGACAGCAUCCUGCUGCCAGCACAACCCCAGUACUGGAGGCAGCGCCAGACUCUUAAAACGUUAUCUGUGCUAUUUUGUCCCACCUGGACGGAUCCCUGUCUUCAGUUCACCUGGAGAGCUUUAAUGAGUAUUAGAGUCACCUGAGUGCCGCCCUCCGCGCACUCGGAGUACUUUACACCCUGAGGGCAGGGGCCUGAAACACGUGAUCUACCGCGGAAUGCCUGGAUUGAAUGUCACCUCUGGGAAAACUUGCCUUCUGGCUUUCCUUAAUCUGCUCGUUUUAUGGUACCUCCCAGGUUAGGCUUCAAGCUCCUGCCGGAGGUCCCACCCUGACUACCCUUAGUGAAGAACUGGAACCCGAAGAAGGCUUGAGCUAAAUAAAUCCUUUCCUCCCCUAA